UACGAAGGGGGCUAGCGUUGCUCGGAAUUACUGGGCGUAAAGCGCACGUAGGCGGCUUUCUAAGUCGGGGGUGAAAUCCUGGAGCUCAACUCCAGAACUGCCUUCGAUACUGGAAAGCUCGAGUCCGGGAGAGGUGAGUGGAACUGCGGAGUGUAGAGGUGAAAUUCGUAGAUAUUCGCAAGAACACCAGUGGCGAAGGCGGCUCACUGGCCCGGUACUGACGCUGAGGUGCGAAAGCGUGGAGAGCAAACAGG
rnacentral:rRNA from 1 species